UCAAACAUGCGAUUCUUCGCUGCACCUCCAUAUACACACAGAUCGAAAUAGAGAGGCGAUGAAAGAGAGAGAGAGGCGACGAGGAAACGGUGAAAGAAGCAGAGAAAGAGAGAUGGAAAUAGAGGGAGGAGAUGAGGCCUGGGACACGGAGAGAGAAACUGAGAAGAGAAAGAGGCAAAACACAAUUACUGUCAGAUUUUCCGCCGCCAUCCGUUCCCUCGCCAGACUCAGAACACCGAAACCGCAGGCACACACAGGAAUUGAGAUUGAGGAAGAGAAAUCUAAGUGCCAUUAACUCCGUUCAGGCCAUUUACCUACCAUCAUCAGAUCGUCGAAAUUGCCACCGAUCAAGCAUAGAUUGUUUCAUUAGCUUCGAAAUUCCUAUCCACAAUCCAUCUUUUCUGAAUAGCAAAGAGUAGAUGAGAGAAUCAAAAGCGUGUCCAACAAAAGUUACUAGAAGAUCUAGGAAGCAAAAAACUCAUUCCAAGUUUGCUGUAUUGGACAAGGGAACCGAAAUCUAUUCUAAUUUAAAAGAGAUCAGUGACUCAAAUAUGUUGGCGCCACACCAAAUCCAAGAUAAGGUUCUAAAGGAUGGCUAGAAGAAGAACGAGAAGACUAUAUCUAGAUAUCUCUAAUAGCAACCUCUGAGGACAACCAUCCAAAGGCAAGAUGGAAUGUGGGGUACUGCUGCAAGUGUUGCCUUGAAAAGAAAAGACUGCAGUUGAUUCAAAUGCUCCAGCUACUGCUUGCAGUGCACACAAGACUGAG